rnacentral:rRNA from 1 species
UGGGGAAUUUUUCGCAAUGGGCGAAAGCCUGACGAAGCAACGCCGCGUGGAGGAUGAAGGCCCUAGUGGUCGUAAACUCCUGUCUAGCGGGACGAAAGUAUUGGAGGUGAAUAAUCUCCGAUAUUGACUGUACCGCUGGAGGAAGCUCCGGCCAACUCCGUGCCAGCAGCCGCGGUAAUACGGAGGGAGCAAGCGUUACUCGGAAUUAUUGGGCGUAAAGGGCGCGUAGGCGAUCUGAAAAGUUCUGUGUGAAAGCCCACAUGUUAACUGUGGAAGUGCACAGAAAACUGUUGGAUUUGAGUUCAGGAGAGGAAAGCAGAAUUCCCGGUGUAGCGGUGAAAUGCGUAGAGAUCGGGAGGAAUACCAGUGGCGAAGGCGGCUUUCUGGACUGACACUGACGCUGAGGCGCGAAAGCCAGGGGAGCAAACGG